UGAUGAUAGAAAAGGGCAUAAAAAGGUUAUCGGGAACCAGGGUUAUCUGGUAUAUUUGCUCUGCUCUCCCCUGGCACCUCUCAGUGGUUGCUCCUGCCUGAGCAUGCUCCUCUUUUCCAUCUGUAUUGUUUUUCACCCCAGCAUACUGUUGGAAGGGUUAUUCAGAAGGCAUUUGACUGAAGCGUACUUGGAAAGACCAAACCCAAACCACAGUAGUGACCAGAUACUUAGUGGCAGCCCCAGCUGCAGACUGUGCAGCUGUCAGCAGGAAGACCAGCCAUCCACUUUGGCCACGGCAGCGAGGCUUUCUGGUCAGUCUAGAAAUCAGUAGGUAUGGAGAUUGGCUUGCAAGUACUCAUCAGAGCUCCUAUUUUCUUUUCAGGAGGCAGCUGUAUGGAGGCCAAUAUGCAGACAAGGGAAGUAACUCAGGCAUUUUGGGGGAGAGGUACAGAAAGAAGAGAAACAAACUGACUGCUGUUCUGAACAAGAACUAUGACUAUAUGUGGUACUCUCAGAAUGCUGAUUUCCUUUCAGACCCAUCCAGUGGCUGUCCUCUUGGCUUGGACUGAAGACCCCCUCUGGAGAACUAUCUCUGCAGCCUAUACUGAUGACACUGGCCACUGUCCAGGGCUCCACCCCAACGAGUCCAAGGCCCAGACAUUCAGCGUCAGAGAGAAUCCAGAUUUUGCAUUUCCAGUGCAGGGAUUGAUGGAGCCUUCAAGGAUAGUGUAUCAAAGUGCCAAUUUCUUUCUAACAGGCUGGGGAGGAUACCGCUGACAGCAGCAGAAAGGGGUAGCAGUGGUUUGCUUUCCAAAUGGUAAUAAGAAGGGCCUGGCAGUGGCACCCUGUCCAUGCAUCAUUAAAAAUGGACUCUCCUGCUUCAUUUGGAAUUCGACCCAAUGAACUUGAAUAAACUCUGGACAAUGACCAGCACAGAGCUCUGAGCAGGAUACAGCAAGAUUAUUUGCUUUACUCAUCCACUGAGUACCUACCAUAUGGCAAAUACUAUGCUAUAUGCAGAGUGUACACUGGUGAGUAAAACAGAUAUGGUCCUUGGAGCCUAUGAAUCUUACCGUCUAGCCACAAAUAAUAAAAAGUAAGAAGAAUCUGAAGGACAACUGGGACACAAAUGAUCUUAGCCAAAAGGCCGAGAAGAGAUCACAAUGCUUUUUAAAGGUAGCAUUUCACCCAGACAAUAAUCAAUCCCUCUGGCCUUCUUGAGGUGCAGGGCCACACAUUCAAAUUCUUUAAUCAAACAAUAGGCUAGUGCAAAUGGAGCUAUUUCUUAAACCCAGCUGUUUACACAGCAGCUACAAAUCUGUUCAGAAAGAAUCCCCCACCAUCCACAACUAUCUAUCGAGCAGAUGUGCAAGAGUAUUUGUCUCUCACCACCAGGGUUGCAGUCAGGACAAGAGAGCAGGUUUGAACGUCUUCGGCUCCUAGAACUUCACAAGCUGUGUCUUUUGUGCCCAGAGGCGGCUGCAACCUCUUCCCAGUUCUCCUUUUAGAACAAUGGCGAUUUUUUUUUAGAGGCGUAAUAAGGAAGGUUUGCAUUGAAUUAUUAAACAAUAGGCAUUGAAAAAUAUGUUUUCUUUGACCUCUGUACCUCUAGCUUUUACCAGUGUUUUCUUGUACCAAGGCUAAGAUAUGUAUAACACUGAAA
ensembl:lincRNA